GUUGACUGUUUUGCCCUCUGAGAGUUUGCAUGCCUCGACGGCUUGGGCUGAGAAGUGACCUGGGAGGAUCCGGAACAGAGGCCCUCUGAGUCAGAAACCGAGAAACCAAACGAUCACUGUUUGAUUCAAAACCUAAAAGGUGUCUGUCGGCGCAGAGUGGCGACAGAGUGCUCCGUGCUCCUGUUUGCUCUUUGGUCCUCUCAACCGGUGGUAGAUAUCUUCCUGCCGUGUGGGUCUUUCUCUCCCUCCCUCUCCCUGUGCAGGUUCGACCUGGGAAACAGGUACGUGACUUUAAAACUAGCUUCCAAAAAGCUUUGACAUGUAGCUUGGCAAUGCUAACUCAAUGUUCAUUGACAGGGAAUGCUCAUCAGCUGGCCGAAAUCCAUAGGUGGUGAUUGAUGUGACAGCACCAUCAGUUGAUUGGGGCCACUGCUGCUUUGACUGCUGCUUUGCCUGCUGCUUUGACUGCUUUGACUGCUGCUUUGACAACUUAGUCUGCUGCUACAUGUAAUCUUGUCGGUAACUGUCUGCACUGUUAAAUGCUGCUAAGUGCACAGUUUGGUC
ensembl:lncRNA